CGACCUGAGUUCAGGCAAGGCUACCCGCUGAAC
rnacentral:rRNA from 1 species